ACAACAAAGCAGAAGUUUUCUUUGGCUAGAUGGUUUAUCUUUGUUUACGAAAGUGUAAAUCAUUAUUUCUGUUCAGAGGUGUGAAAAUGUGGAAUUGCAAUAUCUCCAUAGUGAACGAACGAUCAGCGGAAGUAUGAGCUCAAAGGAGGCCGGGUCGAAUUUUGUGAGUAUAUAUAUAUAUAUAUGAACGGCAGAGACGAGAUGACUUAAAAAGACAUUCAGUUUUAGUUUGUAUAUGCAUUUUAUAUAAUGGGUUUUCUAAUAUU